GAUGAACGCUGGCGGCGUGCUUAACACAUGCAAGUCGAACGGGAAACCUUUUAUUGCAGCUUCGGCAGAUUUAGCUGGUUUCUAGUGGCGGACGGGUGAGUAACGCGUGGGUAACCUGCCUUAUACAGGGGGAUAACAGUCAGAAAUGGCUGCUAAUACCGCAUAAGCGCACAGAGCUGCAUGGCUCAGUGUGAAAAACUCCGGUGGUAUAAGAUGGACCCGCGUUGGAUUAGCUGGUUGGUGGGGUAACGGCCCACCAAGGCGACGAUCCAUAGCCGGCCUGAGAGGGUGAACGGCCACAUUGGGACUGAGACACGGCCCAGACUCCUACGGGAGGCAGCAGUGGGGAAUAUUGCACAAUGGGGGAAACCCUGAUGCAGCGACGCCGCGUGAAGGAAGAAGUAUCUCGGUAUGUAAACUUCUAUCAGCAGGGAAGAUAAUGACGGUACCUGACUAAGAAGCCCCGGCUAACUACGUG
rnacentral:rRNA from 1 species